rnacentral:lncRNA from 1 species
GAAGAGGGGAAUGGGGAAUGACUGCUAAGGCGUAUGGGUUUUGUUUGGGGUGAGGAAAAUAUCCUGGACUUAGAUAUUGGUGACGGUUGCACAACUCUUUAACCUAAAAGGGGAAGAAUUCUCAAUUUCCACACCAGAUGUGCAUGCCCAUUUACCUCCAGGAAAACACACAGAGAAAUAGCUGCAUUGAAGAUUCCUAACUUUACUAAGGGAAAGAAGACUGAAGAAUACAUCCUCCAGUGGAAAAUUCUGCUGAACCAUUUUCCUCCUCAAUUCACCUCAACUUGUUACUAGAAAGAGCUGUGAGUCGGGGCCAACUCAGAGUGUGGCACUCUUCUGAGGAAUGUGAUGUGCCUCAGAUAAUUUGCAUAGGCUUUUCUUGAAAGGCAGAAGAUGAAUACUAAUAAAUUUAAUUAGCCAGUGCUUUUCUUGAAAUGUAUCUGAAAGCAGAUGACAGAUCUCCAUAAUCAAAC